rnacentral:tRNA from 1 species
UUGGAUCACCUCCUAACAGGGAGACAAACAACGAUUUUGAUGUCUGAGUUAUUUAUUCUUAGGCCAAAAUCCUGUCACCUUAGGUCGAUCGGUACCUCAACUUUGAAGCUAAGAGAGUUCCAGCAAUGGUUGUCUGCUUAGUGUAGAUUUUUAGUUCCUAAACUUUGUCUAGUUCACAACCCAUUAGGGAUGAGACUCCUGGGCCAUUAGCUCAGGUGGUUAGAGCGCACCCCUGAUAAGGGUGAGGUCCCUGGUUCAAGUCCAGGAUGGCCCAUUCGGUGUUGGGGGUUUAGCUCAGUUGGUAGAGCGCCUGCUUUGCAAGCAGGAUGUCAGGAGUUCGAGUCUCCUAACCUCCACUGACCAAACUGUAUCCCCAUCUCCAAAAGGAAUUGGAGUAUGAAUUCGAUUGGAGUGUGAUUUUAGACGUGUCCGCUGGAUGACCCCAGCUUCCUGUCAUUCCAAAUGAAAGCAAAAACGAUUUUGCUGAUUGAAUUUGGUUGAUAAGAUGCUGGGCUCAAGUCAAAUGAUCAAGCAAUUGAUGAUUUGAUUUGAAGUUCUAGCAGAACCUUGACAACUGCAUAGGUAAGUCUGGAAAGAAUAAAGCAUCUCAUGGAUGAUGCGAUGACUCUAAACAAUGAUCUGAAAGGAUGAUUGAGAGGAGUGAUUGUGAAUUCUAUCGAGCAAGAGCCGAGACUCCAUCACGUUCUUUUGAUUGCGUCGAGCAAUGAGGAGUUAGAUCUUUGAUUCAGCAAUGAAUCAGGGAGAAUCUGUUUCAACGACAGCAAGCGUGUUGGAGAUACAUUGGUCAAGCUACAAAGGGCUCACGGUGGAUACCUUGGCACACAGAGGCGAUGAAAG